rnacentral:rRNA from 1 species
CUACACAUGCAAGUCGAGCGGUAACAGGGGGUGCUUGCACCCCGCUGACGAGCGGCGGACGGGUGAGUAAUGCAUAGGAAUCUGCCCAGUAGUGGGGGAUAGCCCGGGGAAACCCGGAUUAAUACCGCAUACGCCCUUUGGGGGAAAGCAGGGGAUCUUCGGACCUUGCGCUAUUGGAUGAGCCUAUGUCGGAUUAGCUAGUUGGUGGGGUAAAGGCCUACCAAGGCGACGAUCCGUAGCUGGUCUGAGAGGAUGAUCAGCCACAUCGGGACUGAGACACGGCCCGAACUCCUACGGGAGGCAGCAGUGGGGAAUAUUGGACAAUGGGGGCAACCCUGAUCCAGCCAUGCCGCGUGUGUGAAGAAGGCUUUCGGGUUGUAAAGCACUUUCAGUGAGGAGGAAAACCUUCUGGUUAAUACCCAUGAGGCUUGACGUUACUCACAGAAGAAGCACCGGCUAACUCCGUGCCAGCAGCCGCGGUAAUACGGAGGGUGCAAGCGUUAAUCGGAAUUACUGGGCGUAAAGCGCGCGUAGGUGGUUUGAUAAGCGAGAUGUGAAAGCCCCGGGCUUAACCUGGGAACGGCAUUUCGAACUGUCAGGCUAGAGUGUG